rnacentral:rRNA from 1 species
GUAGUUAGCCGUGGCUUCCUCCUUAGGUACCGUCAUUAUCGUCCCUAAAGACAGAGCUUUACAAUCCGAAGACCUUCAUCACUCACGCGGCGUUGCUGCAUCAGGGUUUCCCCCAUUGUGCAAUAUUCCCCACUGCUGCCUCCCGUAGGAGUCUGGACCGUGUCUCAGUUCCAGUGUGGCCGAUCAGCCUCUCAGCUCGGCUACCCAUCGUUGGCUUGGUGGGCCGUUACCUCACCAACUACCUAAUGGGACGCGAACCCCUCUUAAAGCGGAUUGCUCCUUUGACCUCAUCCCGAUGCCGGGUCGUGGUCUUAUGCGGUAUUAGCACUUGUUUCCAGGUGUUAUCCCCCUCUUUAAGGCAGGUUGUUCACGCGUUACUCACCCGUUCGCCACUAAGUACAAAACCGAAAUCUUGUACUCCGUUCGACUUGCAUGUGUUAGGCACGCCGCCAGCGUUCGUCCUGAGCCAGAAUCAAACUCUGA